GCCUAGUAUUUCGCGUAGGAAGAGCGUGGGGGUUUAUUUUAGAAUUUACAUCUAACACGGCAAUACGUUUACUACCAUGUUUCUAUUUUACUCCGUAUAUAAUAGUGAGAAAUUUUAUUGCUAAAUUUAUCAUAUUUCUUUUUAUGUUACAUAAUAAAACUCAAAAUUUAGUAUCGUGCAAUUCCGUCUUGUAAACAGUGGAUCGUCGAAUGAAGUCAGUGUUGGAGGUGUGCGCUCAAAAUCAUAUGCGGAUGAAAAUUCAUUAAAUGGUGCACCUGCAGGUCCUCCUGAUGUGACGAUGUUUAACAUGUUCCUUGUGUGUAAGUGCAUGCAUUUGCACCCUCCAGCUGAUAUGUGUAAGAUGCUGUUUAUUUGAUGCAGCUGAGUGUGUUUAUUGGAAAAAAUGGUUACUGGACCAAGACCACCAAAUUCUGGCCAUGCUGUGGCGGAGGUGGCCGGGGGGUGGACGUGUGGUGAAUUUGGAGUUGGCGCGCGCGCGCGCGAAAGCGAUUUAAAAAGGAUGAGCAUGGAUUGCUUUGAUGAGUUUAGGACUUUGUAGUCCAAUGUCAAGCUGAUGCUCCGCUAUGGUCGUCCUACGUCUCCGAGUCGUCGCUAGGCAGAUUUCUCCCCGCCCUCGAAUACCGCGGAUGUAACGUUGAACGUGUAUUUUGCGUCUGUUUUGCUCUCCUUUGGGCCAGCUGACGCAAGAUGUUGUUUGAUUGUCACAUGCUGAGGGUAGUUUUUUCCAUAAGUGGACAAUCCGAGAUCUUCUUCAGGAACUUAUCCAGUUGUCUUUUGAAAGUCUCAAUGGUAAUAAAAUCCUCCCUCUCUUCUCAGCACCUUUGGUUCAAACAGCCUUGGUGGUAGUCCUACCACGGACAGGAGUGAUCCCUCACGAAGAUUUUCAACUCUGGCCGCGGCUCUGUUAUUGAAUGAAGGAAUUGUGCACAGUGUCCCACACGCGCUUUAGUUGUAACACUUCACAAAUUUGGAGGCUUCCUAACACCAAGACAAGAAGCUGUAGUUAUUGGAGACUCGAGCGAGAUAUCGAGAGCGAGGCUAGGGUGUGAAGAGGGAAGAGAGAUGUCACAGAGUACCUCCUGAGUACUCUGAGUCACAGAGUACCACAGGAAACGAUACUGGGCCCAACCUCAUUCACAUCGGCGACAUAGAUAUGAAAGUGAUUCAUGCCACUGCAUCGUCAUUCGGGGGCGGAUGAAAAAGAAGGAGGAGGCACGGUGCGCGCCCGAUCCAUCGUGGCCUGGGACUGCUAUACGUCCGAAACAAAUACUAAGGCAUGACAGUCCUGUCACACACCACACUCGUGCUCGGCCAUGCUGCUGUGUAGUUGUUUGUUGCCCGGCUGUAAGUUGUGUCCGUGUGUUUUUUGGCCUGCCACGGGAGGAACGACGGGUUGCACCGGAAGGCUCCAUCCACCAAGAAGAGGUCCGGAUGUCGGAUAGACCUGGCGGCACAGUAUUGCUACGUGGAGAGGCGCAGUUGUCGGGAAGAAGAGAGUGUGAUUGUGUCUCUGUAUUCACACAAACACACACGACGAUGAAGAAUAAUUCUUCUCUAACCUGAUGUCAGUAGCGCGAUGUGUGCAUCUUGCCGGCGUCACUGUGUGCGCGCCAACAAAUAUCAUCUGAAGAAGCAUUUAUUUAAUAAAAAAUGUUGUUUGAGUGUGGGACUAGCGAGAAAUGUGACGACAAACGAGCAGAGUGUCGUGAUACAAGAGCUAUCUGUCUGUUGUUGUAAUUGUCCAUCCUGGUAGUGGCGACUAGGGAGGGGGUGAUAGGCCAGUUUUUCCGG
rnacentral:lncRNA from 1 species